rnacentral:rRNA from 1 species
CCUACGGGAGGCAGCAGUGAGGAAUAUUGGUCAAUGGGCGCAAGCCUGAACCAGCCAAGUCGCGUGAGGGAUGACGGUCCUAUGGAUUGUAAACCUCUUUUGUCGGGGAGCAAGGCCCGCCACGUGUGGCGGGAAGGAGAGUACCCGAAGAAAAAGCAUCGGCUAACUCCGUGCCAGCAGCCGCGGUAAUACGGAGGAUGCGAGCUUUAUCCGGAUUUAUUGGGUUAAAAGGGUGCGUAGGCGGAAGGUUAAGUCAGCGGUAAAAUGUCGGUGCUCAACACCGGCCGGCCGUUGAAACUGGUCUUCUUGAGUGAGCGAGAAGUAUGCGGAAUGCGUGGUGUAGCGGUGAAAUGCAUAGAUAUCACGCAGAACUCCGAUUGCGAAGGCAGCAUACCGGCGCUCAACUGACGCUGAGGCACGAAAGCGUGGGGAUCGAACAGGAUUAGAUACCCCAGUAGUC